GGCGGGCCUCCCCGCAUCGCAUGGUAGUGAACCUGGUCAGGUCCGGAAGGAAGCAGCCACAGCUAUUUAAUGCGAGUGCCGGGGGUUAGGCUCGCCACC
rnacentral:SRP_RNA from 1 species